rnacentral:rRNA from 2 species
AUCCGGGUUGCGGACAGUGUCUGGUGGGUAGUUUGACUGGGGCGGUCUCCUCCUAAAGAGUAACGGAGGAGCACGAAGGUUGGCUAAUCCUGGUCGGACAUCAGGAGGUUAGUGCAAUGGCAUAAGCCAGCUUGACUGCGAGCGUGACGGCGCGAGCAGGUGCGAAAGCAGGUCAUAGUGAUCCGGUGGUUCUGAAUGGAAGGGCCAUCGCUCAACGGAUAAAAGGUACUCCGGGGAUAACAGGCUGAUACCGCCCAAGAGUUCAUAUCGACGGCGGUGUUUGGCACCUCGAUGUCGGCUCAUCACAUCCUGGGGCUGAAGUAGGUCCCAAGGGUAUGGCUGUUCGCCAUUUAAAGUGGUACGCGAGCUGGGUUUAGAACGUCGUGAGACAGUUCGGUCCCUAUCUGCCGUGGGCGCUGGAGAACUGAGGGGGGCUGCUCCUAGUACGAGAGGACCGGAGUGGACGCAUCACUGGUGUUCGGGUUGUCAUGCCAAUGGCACUGCCCGGUAGCUAAAUGCGGAAGAGAUAAGUGCUGAAAGCAUCUAAGCACGAAACUUGCCCCGAGAUGAGUUCUCCCUGACCCUUUAAGGGUCCUGAAGGAACGUUGAAGACGACGACGUUGAUAGGCCGGGUGUGUAAGCGCAGCGAUGCGUUGAGCUAACCGGUACUAAUGAACCGUGAGGCUUAACCUU